rnacentral:lncRNA from 1 species
UAAAUCGGUUUAUUACUAUAAACCCCUUUCUUAGUUGUAUUCUUCUUGAUUUUUGACUAAGAAAUUCACCUUCUCCUAGCCUCUUUCCUUCUCUAUCUUCUUUGUUUUGCUAAAGAACCCAAACAGCAAAAAAUUGGGAUAGGUAGCUAGUGUUUUGGAAAAGAAUAAAUUAACGAAAUAGUUUGCUAGGUGUUUAACCCAUGAAAAGCU